AACGAACGCUAGCGGCAGGCUUAACACAUGCAAGUCGAGGGGUAGAGGUUGCUUGCAACCUUGAGACCGGCGCACGGGUGCGUAACGCGUAUGCAACCUACCUUUUACAGAGGGAUAGCCCAGAGAAAUUUGGAUUAAUACCUCAUAGUAUAUAACCUUCGCAUGUUGGUUAUAUUAAAGUUCCAACGGUAAAAGAUGGGCAUGCGUCCUAUUAGCUAGAUGGUAAGGUAACGGCUUACCAUGGCAACGAUAGGUAGGGGUCCUGAGAGGGAGAUCCCCCACACUGGUACUGAGACACGGACCAGACUCCUACGGGAGGCAGCAGUGAGGAAUAUUGGACAAUGGGCGCAAGCCUGAUCCAGCCAUGCCGCGUGCAGGAAGAAGCAUCUAUGGUGUGUAUACUGCUUUUGUACAGGAAGAAACACCCCGACGUGUCGGGGCUUGACGGUACUGUAAGAAUAAGGAUCGGCUAACUCCGUGCCAGCCGCCGCAGUAAAAC
rnacentral:rRNA from 1 species